UACAGAGGUCUCGAGCGUUGUUCGGAUUCAUUGGGCGUAAAGGGUGCGUAGGCGGGCAGGUAAGUCCGUGGUGAAAUCUCUGAGCUUAACUCAGAAACUGCCAUGGAUACUAUUUGUCUUGAAUAUUGUGGAGGUAAGCGGAAUAUGUCAUGUAGCGGUGAAAUGCUUAGAUAUGACAUAGAACACCAAUUGCGAAGGCAGCUUACUACACAGUUAUUGACGCUGAGGCACGAAAGCGUGGGGAUCAAACAGG
rnacentral:rRNA from 1 species